UUGGUUUAUCAUUGAAUUUCUUAAAAAAAACCUUUUCUUUGGGCUCUCCCGUAUGCUCCUCUCUUUUGGAUUCUCUCUCGCUCUCAAGUCUCCCGCAGAAUUCUUUGGAACCCUUGUCUUUCCAAAUUCUGAGCUGUACCCAUAACCCAGUAAGCGGAAACAAGAAGAUGAUGAAUUUAUUAAGUUUGCAAAGUUUGCAGUGUGUGUUAGACCUGGUGGUUGCUGGGAUCUCUUUGAUUUUUGGGCUGGGAAUUUUCGCCUUCAUUGCCUCCAUUCUUUGCUCUGCUGCCUUCUUACACAAUGCCAAGCACACCUCUUGAUCCCACCCCUCCAUCGAAUUCAAAGGGAACAGAAGAAAGUUCGAAAAUGCAGGUUGUUGGUUCCUCUGGAAUUUCUUUUGUAACUGUUGUGGAAGUGACAUUGAGCAGACUGUAUGCUGGAGUAGCCUGUGUCCACCCAAAGAUUGUACCAUUUCUCCCCGAACGAAGCAAUAAAAUCGCUUGGCAAUUUUGACAGGCAUUAGAGUUUUUUCCGCCUUUGGUUUUCUUUUUUCCUUUUUCUUGUUUUCUCCUUCAAUGUUCUUAUGAAUCUCUGAGUGCUUUAGUUCAAAGUGUGUAGACGAACACAACCAAACCAAGCUGAGGAUCAUGGGGCAUGCAAGCUCAAUUUAGUUGAUUUUUUAAGUACUGUAAGUUGAUAACUAUAUUGUUCUAUUUAAUCAUUCAGCUCGACUUUUUGCUCA